rnacentral:lncRNA from 10 species
CCGGAGCCCCGGCCUGGCUCGGCUACCUGAAGGCGCUUUUGUUUGACUCAGGCGCGCCAGGAGCACAUUCUUUCACAUUAGGAACCGCAGGGGAAGACAUUCAUUCACUCCUUUUUUUUGGUGACGUAGCUGGGGCAUUCAUGUGUUUUUAACCUUGAAUAAUUUUUGCCUCUAAGCUCCAAACAAGUUUUAUCCUGUCCACAGGUCAGUUUUGUUACAGAGGCCAAUUAGCAGUGCUACCUUCGCCUGCGGCAAAAAGCCAAGUAAUGACCGGGCAAGCCCUGCGGAGGGGUGAUGAAUAACUCCGGAGAGCUGUAAUUUGAAAGGGGGGCCUUUGAAGCAUUUACCUUACAUGGGACGCCAUUGUCCCUGCAGGGUGUUUGAUCUUAAAAUAAUUUACUUAAUGAUCUCACCAUGGGAGCAAUUGGCAGAGCAAGAUUAGGCUGUAAGGCCUAAUGGACAUGGGAAAAGUUAAAAUUGCUCAGAGAAAGGCGUGGCUGUGCUGACUUCAGAGAGGAAUUGUUGGUGGCUUAGCAACAGCUGCACACACAGCUUCCAGAGGGAAUGGAGGUGAGCAGCAUCUGUUCUGUCUUUGCUAAGAGCUUUGCUCUCUUGGUCUAUGUUGAAGUCUAGGAGAGAAGACCUGCUAGGUAAAAUGGAACAACUGCAUUGCUUAGGGCACUGCUUUCAGAUCACCUCAGACCAUGGGCCCUUCUGAGCUGUGCCCAUUUCUCUUUUCCUGUCCCUCAAAAGAUAUCCCCUAGAUCCUGUCUUCUAAUUCCCCACCUCUGCUCCGUGCUUUAUCCCUCCUACUUAAUUCCCCUCCCCACACCUACUCUAUCUGAGUCAAGUUCAUAUGAGUUUCUGCUUGAGAACUUGAAAGAUGCUCAAGUUCAGUUCUAAGAUGGGUAGCAUGAUAAUUGUUGAAGUGCUAUGACCAAUCUUUAGAAAUGCUUUACCCAAGAUGGUAGGAACUUCUGGGGCAGUCAUUUUGCCCAGAAGUCUAGGACAAGGAUCUCCACGGACUCAAAGAUUGCUAUAGAUUUGAGGAAACAAAAAUGAGCUUUCUCGUGAUGUGUUUUUAUUUCCAGCGCUUUUUAAAUGUUAGAAAUAAAAAGCCCAAUUCUUACAAAAAAAUUAGCCGGGCGCGGUGGCGGGCGCC